rnacentral:lncRNA from 10 species
GCAGAUCGCAGCCCAGAGUCUGCGGAGGCGCACCGUUUCAUCAACAGCAGGGACUGAAACUUCAGCCCAGGAGAAGCCAAGAUGGCACCGUUAUCGCACCCUGGGAAUCGAGGACCGGGAAGAACUUAAUGAUGCGAUUCCUCCCGUGAUCUCAGUGAUUGUAUCAGGCGAAAACGAGGAGGGCAAAAUACCGUCCAGAUGUAAACUAGGAGCAGCCGCACCAGCAGCACCAGCAGAAUGCCGUGGUAGUGCGGCAGGCCCUGGCCCCAUGGACAAAGAGAAACUCGUCAGUGGCAGUGGCCACGAACUCAGAAAGCCUGAGGACAGUCAGCAGCUCCUCUGGCUCUUCACUUUCACACUGGUGCAACUACAGGAGCUGAAGAACAUUUUUCAACUCGUUCCAUACCCGGACGUGUUAGGAUCAGAUUCAUCAUUGGACUCCUGGACCUAUCACUGCGGACCUCAAAUGUGCACCUUUUAAGCCCUUUCCUUCACUCCUGACUGAUUGAUUUGGGAUCCACUGCUAAGUCAGACUUUUGAACCAUUGUUCCAGGCAAACUUCUGUUAAAGCUGGU